rnacentral:rRNA from 1 species
UACGGAGGGGCUAGCGUUGUUCGGAAUUACUGGCGUAAAGCGCACGUAGGCGGCUUUGCAAGUCAGAGGUGAAAGCCCGGGGCUCAACCCCGGAAUUGCCUUUGAGACUGCAUCGCUAGAAUUGUGGAGAGGUAAGUGGAAUUCCGAGUGUAGAGGUGAAAUUCGUAGAUAUUCGGAAGAACACCAGUGGCGAAGGCGACUUACUGGACACAUAUUGACGCUGAGGUGCGAAAGCGUGGGGAGCAAACAGG